rnacentral:rRNA from 1 species
UACGAAGGGGGGCUAGCGUUGCUCGGAAUGACUGGGCGUAAAGGGCGCGUAGGCGGUUUGGUUAGUUAGGCGUGAAAUUCCUGGGCUCAACCUGGGGGCUGCGCUUAAUACAGCCAGACUAGAGUGUGAAAGAGGGUCGUGGAAUUCCCAGUGUAGAGGUGAAAUUCGUAGAUAUUGGGAAGAACACCGGUGGCGAAGGCGGCGACCUGGUUCAUUACUGACGCUGAGGAGCGAAAGCCAGGGGAGCAAACGGG